GCCUAAGGUAGGACUGGUGACUGGGGUGAAGUCGUAACAAGGUAUCCCUACGAGAACGUGGGGAUGGAUCACCUCCUUUCUACGGAGUACAACUUCUGUUAUGGAAAAAAAUAUUUGUAUCCAGUUUUGAGAGAUUUAUCUCUCUUUUUGUUCUUUGAAAACUGAAUAUCGACAUUGAAAAAUUAUUAAUUAAUAUUUCAAAGUUUAGAUCAACCCAUAGAAUACAAAAUAUAGACAACAAUAGGUCAUACUACAACAAAUAAAAUAACAAACAACUAUUAAACAAGAUAAGAGUUUUUGGUGGAUGCCUUGGGUCUGGAAGUCGAAGAAGGACGUGAUUACCUGCGAUAAGCCUCGGUUAGCUGGAUAUAAGCUGCGAUCCGGGG
rnacentral:misc_RNA from 1 species